GAUCCUGGCUCAGGAUGAACGCUAGCUACAGGCUUAACACAUGCAAGUCGAGGGGCAGCAUAACGAUAGCUUGCUAUUGUUGAUGGCGACCGGCGCACGGGUGAGUAACGCGUAUCCAACCUCGUCCCUUCGUCCAUCGGACUAACCCGUACGAAGGCGGACUAACACGAUAUGCUAGUUCACAGCGAGGCAUCUAACGUGAACGAAUGUGAAAGGAAAAGGUAGUGGGGAUGCGU
rnacentral:rRNA from 1 species